rnacentral:tRNA from 1 species
GAGGCAUUGAUUAGAGGUGCAAAAUUUUCCGGUUCAUAGCAUCCCGAUUUUCAAUCGGGAGGGUCCGCGGUUCGAAUCCGUGUGCCUCCA